GAAGUGCGAAAAGUGUCACGACUUGCAGAUUCCCGAGAGCUGAUAAAUCUCUGAAUGCAAAUGGCGGACCGGUAUCAAAGCCGGCCAUGUAUUGCAGAGUGUUGUUGUUCAUACUAUUCAUCCCCUGCAUUGCAAUUGACUUGCAAUGUAGCGUUUGGGAUCUGCGCUUGCGAAUUCUAUUCCGCGAGCGUUAAAUUGGAGUUUACUGUUGAUUCCCCCGGAACCAACUGCAAGCUUCGCAACUUAGCGGCGAACCAGCGCAUGUUGGCUUGCUGCUAGAUUGUCGAGGUUAAUGACUCUUAAACCCAUUUCUAAUCCAAACCUCUGCAAUGCAAGAUAACCCGCUGAACUUAA
rnacentral:misc_RNA from 1 species